rnacentral:rRNA from 1 species
UACGUAGGGUGCAAGCGUUGUCCGGAAUCAUUGGGCGUAAAGCGCGCGUAGGCGGCCCGAUAAGUCCGCUGUGAAAGUCAACGGCUCAACUGUUGGAUGCCGGUGGAUACUGUCGGGCUAGAGUACGGAAGAGGCAAGUGGAAUUCCUGGUGUAGCGGUGGAAUGCGCAGAUAUCAGGAGGAACACCUAUAGCGAAGGCAGCUUGCUGGGACGUUACUGACGCUAAGGCGCGAAAGCGUGGGGAGCGAACAGG